UACGGAAGGCGCAAGCGGUGGUCGGAAUCACUGGGCGUAAAGCGCGUGUAGGCGGCUUGGCAAGUCGGGUGUGAAAGCCCGGUGCCUAACCCCGGAACUGCAUUCGAAACUGCCUCGCUCGAGUCCCGGAGAGGAUGGUGGAAUUCCCGGUGUAGUGGUGAAAUACGUAGAUAUCGGGAGGAACACCAGCGGCGAAGGCGGCCAUCUGGACGGUGACUGACGCUGAGACGCGAAAGCGUGGGGAGCAAACAGG
rnacentral:rRNA from 1 species